AGCCUGAACGCUGGCGGCGUGGCUAAGACAUGCAAGUCGCACGGGGUAGCAAUACCCAGUGGCGAACGGGAGAGUAAUGAAUCGCUAAUGUACCCCGGACUCUGGGAUAGCUACCCGAAAGGGUAGGUAAUACCAGAUGACAUAACCCAGUCGCAUGACAGGGUUCUCAAAGGUCCGCCGGUCCGGGAGCAGGCGAUUUCGUAUCAGCUAGUUGGUGGGUAACGCCACAAGGCGACGACGCGUAGCCGGACUGAGAGGUUGCCGGCUCAUUGGGACUGAGACACUGCCCAGACUCUACGGGGGCUGCAGUAACGAAUCUUCCGCAAUGCACGAAAGU
rnacentral:rRNA from 1 species